UCUGGCAAUUUUUAUUCUUCUGAGUAAAAACUCUUUAACCUAGAGGAGAGGAAGAGGAGGACAUCUCUUCUGCUUGCACUGUUAUUUCCUGCAUCCUUAACUUUCCUGAGCUGGACAACAUUUGAGAGUAGCCAAGGAGANGCCAUCUGGUUCCUGCACUGAUGAUUAAUGACUGCCAUAGACUACAGGCUCCUGGAUGGCUUCCUGAUUAUUCAGCAUAUGCCCAUGUGGUAUGUGGAGAACACACGCUGGCUCCAGCCACUUGAAAACAAGGCUCUGAGUCAUCCAGCAAAGCUGUUCUCCUUCCACUUUCAAAAGGGAGUCAUCCUGCAACUGACAAAUGCUUCAUGCUUCCAAUCUGGAAUGCUUGCUUUCUUCUCCUCAAGAAAUGUAUGUAUUUAUGCCUAACCUUUCACUCUUUUAUUAACUAACAUCAUUCAAUUAUCACACAGUGAUUCCCCCCUGCAAUAUAAUAGUUCAAGAUGUUUUUACUUGGACCUUGAAUUAAAAAU
rnacentral:lncRNA from 1 species